rnacentral:rRNA from 1 species
UACGUAGGGUGCGAGCGUUAAUCGGAAUUACUGGGCGUAAAGCGUGCGCAGGCGGCACCGCAAGUCGCGUGUGAAAGCCCCGGGCUUAACUUGGGAAUUGCGCUCGAAACUAUGGUGCUGGAGUGUGGCAGAGGAAGGUGGAAUUCCAGGUGUAGCGGUGAAAUGCGUAGAGAUCUGGAGGAACACCGAUGGCGAAGGCAGCCUUCUGGGCCAACACUGACGCUCAUGCACGAAAGCGUGGGGAGCAAACAGG